rnacentral:piRNA from 1 species
UAGCUCCUUGGUGAUAACUUCUAGAC